ensembl:lncRNA
CUUAAUUUAGGACCAUGCAUUGCAUUUACUUAACCAUAGCUUCCUCUUGUCUUACUAUUCCUUGAUAAUGGCUCUAUACCUCAUACACACAUCUAAUAUUCUGUCAAGUUGUGUUGUUGGCCUGGAGAGAACCCUAGAGGACAAACAAAACUCAUAGUUACUGAGUUAACAAGAGUCAGAGAAAAGCAGGUUCAAUAGUUUUAAGGUAUAAAUAUUUCAUUUUAAGAUUUGAUUAUUAAUUACCAUCCUCCAUGGUAAACUGACAAGGAUAUUUAUAAAUUGGAAAAUAUACCUGCUCUCUUGGGCAAUUUUAAAGAAAAGUUUUAUGCUCUCUUGAGGAUAUUAGUGACUGUCCCUAGUUUGUACUACUGAAAUAUUGCCCUUUUUCAAUCUAUUUCCUAGCUUACUUACUUGAAUAUUUUCCCUUAAUAACAGAUUGCUUGUAUUCUGAUGACAUCUGUGGAGGUACUUUAAUUUGAACUAGUUACAAAUCUCUAACCACAUAGAAACAUGCUAAAUGACUUUCCUAUCAAAGCACAAUGAGGACAUAAAGAUGUUGAUCUUUGGAGUCAGAUCAGAUCAGAUCAGUCGCUCAGUCAUGUCCGACUCUUUGCGACCCCAUGAAUCGCAGCAUGCCAGGCCACCCUGUCCAUCACCAACUCCCGGAGUUCACUCAGACUCACGUCCAUCGAGUCAAUGAUGCCAUCCAGCCAUCUCAUCCUCUGUCGUCCCCUUCUCCUCUUGCCCCCAAUCCCUCCCAGCAUCAGAGUCUUUUCCAAUGAGUCAACACUUCGCAUGAGGUAGCCAAAGUAUUGGAGUUUCAGCUUUAGCAUCAUUUCUUCCAAAGAAAUCCCAGGACUGAUCUCCUUCAGAAUGGACUGGUUGGAUCUCCUCGCAGUCCAAGGGACUCUCAAGAGUCUUCUCCAACACCACAAUUCAAAAGCAUCAAUUCUUCAGCGCCCAGCCUUCUUCACAGUCCAACUCUCACAUCCAUACAUGACCACAGGAAAAACCAUAGCCUUGACUAGAUGAACCUUUGUUGGCAAAGUAAUGUCUCUGCUUUUGAAUAUGCUAUCUAGGUUGGUCAUAACUUUCCUUCCAAGGAGUAAGCGUCUUUUAAUUUCAUGGCUGCAGUCACCAUCUGCAGUGAUUUUGGAGCCCAGAAAAAUAAAGUCUGACACUGUUUCCACUGUUUCCCAUCUAUUUCCCAUGAAGUGAUGGGACCAGAUGCCAUGAUCUUAGUUUUCUGAAUGUUGAGCUUUAAGCCAACUUUUUCACUCUCCACUUUCACUUUCAUCAAGAGGCUUUUUAGUUCCUCUUCACUUUCUGCCAUAAGGGUGGUGUCAUCUGCAUAUCUGAGGUUAUUAAUAUUUCUCCGGGCAAUCUUCAUUCCAGCUUGUGUUUCUUCCAGUCCAGUGUUUCUCAUGAUGUACUCUGCAUAGAAGUUAAAUAAACAGGGUGACAGUAUACAGCCUUGACGAACUCCUUUUCCUAUUUGGAACCAGACUGUUGUUCCAUGUCCAGUUCUAACUGUUGCUUCCUGAUCCGCAUACAAAUUUCUCAAGAGGCAGAUCAGGUGGUCUGGUAUUCCUAUCUCUUUCAGAAUUUUCCACAGUUUAUUGUGAUCCACACAGUCAAAGGCUUUGGCAUAGUCAAUAAAACAGAAAUAGAUGUUUUUCUGGAACUCUCUUGCUUUUUCCAUGAUCCAGCAGAUGUUGGCAAUUUGAUCUCUAGUUCCUCUGCCUUUUCUAAAACCAGCUUGAACAUCAGGAAGUUCACGGUUCACAUAGUGCUGAAGCCUGACUUGGAGAAUUUUGAGCAUUACUUUACUAGCGUGUGAGAUGAGUACAAUUGUGCGGUAGUUUGAGCCUUCUUUGGCAUUGCCUUUCUUUGGGAUUGGAAUGAAAACUGACCUUUUCCAGUCCUGUGGCCACUGCUGAGUUUUCCAAAUUUGCUGGCAUAUUGAGAUUAAGAUGUUCACAGCAUCAUCUUUCAGGAUUUGGAAUAGCUCAACUGGAGUCAAUGAAAUUCUAAAUUCUGGUUCCACUGCUCACUAGUGGUAUUAACCUAUGCUAAUUAUUCAACUUUUCUCAUUUAGCAAUCAUUCAACAGAUAAUGGGGGCUAUGGUAUUUGGGGAGAAUUAUAAUGUUCUACAUAAGCACAUGGUCCUUGGAGCACAGCAAUAUGGUUUCAAAUCCUUGUUCAGCACUCAUUGGCCUUGGAAUUUGGGACAAGAUACUGCACCUCUCUGAAUUCAAGUUUCUUUAUCUAUAAGAAGAAAUCAAUAAUGGUACUUAACCUAAUUGCAUUAUUCUAUUGAAUGAAAUAAUGUUUGUAAAAUGUUUUUCAGGGUUCUUAGGAUGUAACAACUGCCCAACCCAUUACUAAUUUACUAAUAUCUUAAAUUAAUAGCAAUAUUAACAAAAAUAAUAAAGUAUAUUUAGACAUCAAAGAAAGUAUCUUUCUUUUGACCUUGACUGUGUCUUCUCUGCACUCCUUUUCUCAGUCUUUCAGGGGCCUGCUGCUAAGCUAAUUUCAGUCAAGACCCCAUAAUUGUGAUUUGCUCAUCCUUUCCAUCUUAAAAAAAUCAUUCCCUUCAAAUAAAAGUUAAAAUUUACUAUCAAAGAACAAGAUGGAGAGGAAUGUGAACAAAACUUGGCUUAGAGCUGAGGUUGGAAAUUUGAAUACAUUUAAUCCCAAAGUGGGGUUAGUUCUAAUUAAAUGAACUCAACUGCCUUUCACCCCUGAAAGGCAGUCAUCAUGAUUAAUCUUUAAGCUAAUAGUCAGGGACAGCAGGACUAAGCAGAC